rnacentral:rRNA from 1 species
UUUAUCGGAGAGUUUGAUCCUGGCUCAGGACGAACGCUGGCGGCGUGCCUAAUACAUGCAAGUCGAGCGGACAGAUGGGAGCUUGCUCCCUGAUGUUAGCGGCGGACGGGUGAGUAACACGUGGGUAACCUGCCUGUAAGACUGGGAUAACUCCGGGAAACCGGGGCUAAUACCGGAUGGUUGUUUGAACCGCAUGGUUCAGACAUAAAAGGUGGCUUCGGCUACCACUUACAGAUGGACCCGCGGCGCAUUAGCUAGUUGGUGAGGUAACGGCUCACCAAGGC